ensembl:lncRNA
UUUAAUUUGCUGCCAUUUAUAUACUAUAUAAAUUUUACAUGCUGUAUAUUUACAGUGGGGCAAGUGCUUUUUUAAUCUUUAAAAAAACAAAGAUCAAACUUUAGACAUCUCUGAACAACAGCAACUGUAUGAAGCAUACAGAUCAUUCAGAUACAAACUGUAUCCAACACAGUCUCCCCACUCCGUCUCCUGAUGCAGGACCAGUGAAUUCUAAGUGUAUCACAGUUUGAUAGCAUAUCCAUAUUAAAAAUAAAAUCACAGUAUGAUUCUGUCUGUAACUAGAAACUUUAAGGGACCAAGCUGACGACUCAGACUCCAAUAUCAUAGUCAAGACAAGAGACACUGUAUAAAAAAGUGUUAUGUAAUAAAAACAUACUGUAGGCUUUACAAAUAAUGUUUGGAUUAUACAUUCAUAAUGUAAAUACUCAUCAUAACUGGUAAAUUGAUUGGAAUAGUUCCACAAAGUUCAAAAACAGAACUUGUCUAUAAAAUACAUCUUCAAAUCUUGAAUACAACUAAAAUAUGAAGCAAAUUAGUUUCUAGUAUCAGACAUUACAGAAAACACACUGCUCUCAAAAGUCUAGCUGAGAGCCCGUGACUCUUUAAAUAAGUCUUUAAAUUAAGUAUGCACACUGUCGUCUGUCCUUAGCGAUCCCGCGGCCUCCCGGUGGCCGCGCGGCUGUCCGCCUCGGAGGAGCGUUACGUGGACACGGUGAUCAACCUGAGUCUGUGAUUAAGCAGCAUUGAGAUGUUCUAGUCCAGGGCGUUAUUUCAAUGUGAUCUAUAUACAACGUAUUGUACAAUGGUCAGCAGUUGUAGAAAGUGUUCAUCCGUUUGGAAGAAGGGUAAUUAAGAAAAGGUAAAAACUAAAAAAAAAGUUCUUCAUGGUAAAAUCUGUACAGUAUUUACUAAAGAAGCACCACGCAGAUUUGGACAGAGUUCUCCUCUCUCUUUAUAAUUUAAGCUGGGUUGGGGAUGGCUUCUGUUGGACACUCGAAUCUGAAAGACAGGAGGCGGCGGCGUUAGUGCCUGCCGGCGGGUGGCCCCGCGGCGGCCUCCGGGGAGCACGCACGGCUUGGUCGAGACCCCGGGCCGCGGGGAGCUCUUUGCGAGGACGGCGGCCCGCGCGGAGGGCGCCAUCUGCUGGGCGCGGGCCGCCCACCCUUCCCACCCGGCCCGCUCGCGCCGGGGCGGAGCGGCUCCCGGCCUGGCCCUCCCGAGGGCGCGCCCUGAGGCUCGGAGUUAAUGCUCACUGUCCUCUGCAGACGACUCACUGACAUUCAUUCACGGUCCCCCUCGCUGCGAGAAGUACAUUUGGACAAAGUUCCCUUUCAGCAGCAAAAUGGCUCGCUUCCCCUCCGCCUCGGCAGGUGCAGGGCGCCCUGCACGAACUACGGACUCCCGGGGCCCCUGAGUGACAUGCCAGCGGGAAGUUACUUGACGCCCAGGUUCUGAUCUGCUUUAAAGCACCCAAACUGCAUCCGGAUAAAGCAAAGUCCCUGUGUGAAUGGGCGCGAGGUCGCCCACCUCGGUGGUUCCCAGGUCUGCACAGGGGUCGGUGCCCCGGGCCGGCCGGGCGGGGGCGGCUGACCCCUGUCCCCAAAGCCG